UUCAGGAGAGUCAGGGGUAGGGGAGCGUCGUAUGAGAGGCGAAGCAUUAGCGGAAGCGGGUGUGGAUUUCAUACGAGUGAGAAUGCCGGAAUGAGUAGCGAGAAUUAUGUGAGAAUCAUAAUGGCCGAAAGUCUAAGGGUUUAGGAGGAAGGUUCGUCCGCUCCUAGUUAGCCGGGAGCUAAGGUGAGGCCGAAAGGCGUAGCCGAUGCACAUACGGUGGAUAUUCCGUAGCCUCCAAAAGAUUUAAGUACAGGGACGCUUUUGAAGUGAUUGAGCCGGGCGAUGGUAGACCCGGUCGUAAGGGAGCGAAAUUUAGUAGCGAAGCAAUCAUGGAAGAAGACGAGAAAAGCUGUAUGUAUAUCUUCGGAGCCCGUACCGCAAACCGACACAGGUAGACAGGAAGAAGAUUCUAAGGCCAACGGGAGAAGGGUUGUUAAGGAACUCGGCAAGUUGACCCCGUAACUUCGGAAUAAGGGGUGCUCAUGAAAGUGAGCCGCAGAGAAUAGGCCCAGGCAACUGUUUAGCAAAAACACAGGUCUCUGCUAAAUCGAAAGAUGACGUAUAGGGGCUGACACCUGCCCGGUGCCGGAAGGUUAAGAGGAGAAGUGAGAGCUUUGAAUUGAAGCCCCGGUAAACGGCGGCCGUAACGAUAACGGUCCUAAGGUAGCGAAAUUCCUUGUCAGGUAAGUUCUGACCCGCACGAAUGGUGUAAUGAUCUGGGCACUGUCUCGACAACCCGCCCGGCGAAAUUGUAGUACCGGUGAAGAUGCCGGUUACCCGCGACUAGACGGAAAGACCCCAUGGAGCUUUACUGUAGCUUAAUAUUGGAUUUUGGUAUAUCAUGUACAGGAUAGGUGGGAGACUGGGAACCUGUGGCGUCAGCUGCAGGGGAGUCGAUGUUGGGAUACCACUCUUGAUGUACUAGAAUUCUAACCUGCGGCCGUGAAUCCGGUCGGGGGACAUUGUUAGGUGGGCAGUUUGACUGGGGCGGUCGCCUCCAAAAGAGUAACGGAGGCGCUCAAAGGUUCGCUCAGCAUGGACGGAAACCAUGCAUUAGAGUGUAAACGCAGAAGCGAGCCUGACUGCGAGAAUGACGGUUCGAGCAGAUACGAAAGUAGGAGUUAGUGAUCCGGCGGUAUGUGAGUGGAAAUGCCGUCGCUUAACGGAUAAAAGCUACCCUGGGGAUAACAGGCUGAUCUCCCCCAAGAGUUCACAUCGACGGGGAGGUUUGGCACCUCGAUGUCGGCUCAUCGCAUCCUGGGGCUGAAUUCGGUCCCAAGGGUUUGGCUGUUCGCCAAUUAAAGCGGUACGCGAGCUGGGUUCAGAACGUCGUGGGACAGUUCGGUCCCUAUCUGUCGUGGGCGUAGGAUAUUUGAAAGGAGCUGUCCCUAGUACGAGAGGACCGGGAUGGACGCACCUCUGGUGCACCAGUUGUCACGCCAGUGGCACAGCUGGGCAGCUAUGUGCGGAACGGAUAAACGCUGAAGGCAUCUAAGCGUGAAGCCGGCCUUAAGAUAAGAUAUCCCACUGAGUAAUCAGGUAAGACCCCUUGAAGACUACAAGGUUGAUAGGCUUAAAGUGGAAGCGCCGUGAGGCGUGCAGCUUGCGAGUACUAAUCGGUCGAGGGCUUGACCU
rnacentral:rRNA from 1 species